UACGUAGGUGGCAAGCGUUGUCCGGAUUUACUGGGCGUAAAGAGCGCGCAGGCGGUCGGAUUAGUCGCGUGUGAAAGCCCCCGGCUCAACUGGGGAGGGUCACGCGAUACUGUUCGACUCGAAGGCAGGAGAGGGGAGUGGAAUUCCCGGUGUAGUGGUGAAAUGCGUAGAUAUCGGGAGGAACACCAGUGGCGAAGGCGACUUCCUGGCCUGUUCUUGACGCUGAGGCGCGAAAGCUAGGGUAGCAAACGGG
rnacentral:rRNA from 1 species